rnacentral:tRNA from 2 species
GCGGAAGUAGCUCAGUUGGUAGAGCAUCAGCUUCCCAAGCUGAGGGUCGCGGGUUUGAGCCCCGUCUUCCGCU